AUGGCAAAAUUCUUUUGGAGCAGUUCCAUCGACAAAAAUGCUCUACAUUGGGUGUCCUGGAAGAACCUGGCUACACCAAAGUGCCAAGGUGGUAUGGGAUUUCGUGAUCCCCAUCAGUUUAACAUUGCGCUACUCGGGAAGCAUGGGUGGCGGUUUAUGACGAACCCUAAUUCUCUGUGCGCAAGGGUAAUGAAAGGUCGCUAUUUCCCUGACACAGAUUUCUUGCAUGCUACUGUUCCCAAAUCAGUGUCUACUACUUGGCGAGCUAUCAUUGCUGGCAGGGAAGCUCUACAAGCAGGACUUGUUAUGAGAGUGGGAGAUGGGAGCUCCAUUAAUGUAUGGACGGACAAGUGGAUUCCUGGAACUCUCUCCAUGAAACCUUUGUUCAGACCUCCCAGCACUAAUGUUCAGACAGUUUCGGAUCUCAUUGACACCGAAAACUGGUCAUGGAGGCAAGACCUCAUAAGGACAACUUUUAUCGCCCCAGAUGCUGAUGCUAUUCUCAAUAUACCAAUCAGGAGAGGGGCAGGACAGGAUUUCUAUGCUUGGGCCUUUGAACGAUAA
rnacentral:rRNA from 1 species